UAUCCAGUGGUCCAGUGGUUACGAUGCUGCCUUUCAAUGCAGCGGACUCAGGUUCAAUUCCUGACUGGGGAA
rnacentral:tRNA from 1 species